CUCCCUGAAAGGUGGGGUUGCUCAGGAGACUUCCAUAAAGAGGGAGCGAGGAGGCAGAGGCCCCUCUCUAGGAGGGUUUCCUGAGUUUGCUAGAUAGGGAACCGCACCCUGAGCAGAGAGGAGACACCAGAGUGUAAUUCAUACCACAACUGCUGUUUACAGGUGAAGAGCAGAGACUAGGUGUAAUUGCUUUCUAUGCUUAUGAAAAAUGAUGAAUCGGCAGCCUUGGAGAAUCGAGCACCCAAAGGAUACACUACCUUGACACCUGUGGUGUCUGGUUUUGAGUGUGCUGGACUGUGGAGGUGGAGAGGCCUUCAUACACAGAAAAGGCUAUCUCUGUCUCUAGUUUUCACCUGGCUGCUGAAAUUGGCUUUCCAGAACAUUCAGUGAGGAAGAACUGAGAAAAGGGGCUGAACAUAAAGGAUCUCAGUGUUUUUACUUCCUGGUGUUCCUGUGUGAAGUAAGUACUGCCCAGUUUUACAGGUGGGAAGAGGCUGACUUUGUACUGUUGCAAAAAGAAGGCUAAUAGCUUUUCUAACAUUAUCCUGAACUUUUACCAUGARAAGUCUUGUAUAUAUUGUGCUUUAGAGUGU
rnacentral:lncRNA from 1 species